ensembl:lincRNA
UUGUGGUGGUACUAGGGAUUGAACCUGAGGACUUAUACUAAGCUAUACCUCCAGCCCUUUUCAAAAUUUGUUUUUUUGUUUGUUUGAGACAGGGUCUUGCUACAUAAUUGAGGCUGGUCUUGAACUCACUGUGUAGUCCAGGCUGGCCUUGAACUCAAGGCAAUACUCCUGUCCUGCCUCGAGUGCUGGGAUUACAGGCAUGUGACACCAAAUCUAGUUGUUUGGGUUAUUUUGGGGUUUUUUUUGUUUUUUUUUUUUUAAUUUUGAGACUGGAUCUCACUAAAUUGCCUAGACUGACCUCCAACUUGCAAUUCUCUUGCCUCAGUCUUUCAAGUAGACAGGGUCACAGUGAGUGCCAUUAAGCCUAGUUUAAAUCUAUACCUUUCUUUAUCUACCACUACAUUAAACUAAUGUAAAUAAGUAUCAAACAGAAAUUAUAACGCUUCCUGAACAUAUUAGACAUGUAUUGUGUUUGAAGGGCUUACCCAUGUGAACCCAGAGUAUUAAAAAAGUACUAAAUGCCCUUUCUGUUUCUACCAAAACAGGUUGCCGACUGCCUUAAAAGGCGCUGCUGUGGGCUGCACUUUCUUACAAACUUUGUAAUGACAUCAAAUACAGCAGUAUAUACAGGGCAGUCAUGGUUAAAUGUGCAGCUCCCUUUGAAUUAAACCAAGACCUUUGAUCAUUUGCAUUUCAUAAUUUUUAGCCCCAGCAAUGGCUUUAUACAAACACAAUGGCAUGGUCUCUGUUGUUGGAAGUUUGCUACUGACCUUCCAAAGUGUUUGAUGAGAACUGUGACAGGGCAAACAGAAGCAAUGUCAAAGAACAGUCAAGGGCAAUUACUAGAGAAUCGGCCUUUUAGGUUUCAUGCCUGCUUCUGCUACCUACAUAGGCAAGUCACUCAACUACUUAGAGAAUUAAAUGAGUUAAAUGACCUGAAGGAGGUUGUAAAAAACUGAAGAGUUCCAUGAAUGCACCUGUACACAGGGCCUUCAGGAUGCACACAGUAAACAUCAGGGAACAUGUCAAGAAUAGUCUGCAUAUCCUGGAAGAAAAGUCCAAGAUGAAGACAGCAUUACUCACUGGCUCCAUGAUGCUCUUAUCCUGCUUUCUUAUCUCCACUCAGAAAUCCUACCCUUCCUCUCAGCUUCUUGUACACCUAACCUUUCAUCCUCCUCUAGUGAAAGCUAAUUUUCAAGAUAAGAUCUGAUAAACCCAUUCAGUAGAAUGCACACAAUGGCUAUGACAAUUAAUCCAUGCUUCCAAGAGGGACUUGCUUUACAACAAAGACCAAAAUAAGACUAUAAACUCCUGGAGGACAGAACCACACCCAGAUUCUUUAUCACUGGCAUUCCUCAUCCCUGGCACCAUGGCUGGAAGUUAUUUAGGUUUUGACCAAUAUUUAUUAAACGAAUUAAAGAAAUCAGACCAAUAAACAAUCUACUACCUCCUCUAAAUGUUAGCACUUUCUGUGACAUGGAGAUAAAAGCCUGUUUUCAUGACUGUUCUAAGACCUAUAAGACCUUGGCACAAUAAAGGUAACCAUCUCUCAGUGUUACCUUAGCUUUCAAAUCCCCUUUUAAAACACCAAUGGAUCUUAUUUACGCUUUUAGUUUUUCACACCAGAGAAGCAUUCAGUAUUUACACAUGUGUGUCUUAUUUAUUUCACUUAAGAGUAUGGCCUUAAUAUGCAUCCAUUUUCCUAUGAAUGACUCUAGUUUUUCUAGGAAAAAAAUGGAAACAAAGUCUUUGUAAAUAGGAGAGGGUGGAGAGAGUGAAGAGAGGGCAGGGGUAUGGGGAAAAAUUGAGAACCAAGAACUGUCAUGUAAGGGUAUAAGACCCCAGUGAUGAAUAUAACUGUACUGUAUAUUUAAAAAGUACGAAUAAACUCAAUAAGAUAAAAAAAAAACCAAUGGGAUUAUUCUAGUGAUGAGGAAUUUUGUCCUAAAAAUUGACAAUAUAAAUGGAAAGAGUUAUGAGACUGAAGACAUAUCACCACAGGAGAUUAAAAAAUGGAAAAUAUGGCUCUAAAGUUUCAAUUUGAUUCAACAAGGGGCCCAAAUCUCUGAAUCACCUUGUAGCUCUCACAAACAUUCAGAGCCUUUGGCCGC